UAACCUUUAGGAACUAAAAAAAGAAACCAACACUGCCUCUCCUCCCUGCUCUAACCCUGCAAACCAUCUCCCUGUUCCCUCUCUCUCUUCCCCGCAUCCACCGCAGGCCGCAACCACCAACGAUCCGAGCAGUCGAGUUCGAGGAAGAGAAAGCUAGUCACCGACGUUGAAGAUGGUCUUGUCGUUGACGCUCAAUUCGACGACACUCCUCCCCACCUCCGCCAACUCGCCGCCGUCUCUCAGUCCGGCGACCUCCCUUCCCUCCGCCUCGCUCUCGAGAGAUCAAUUUUGUCAAUGACAUGGUCGGCACACUUGCUGGCAAUGGUACAAAGGGCUCUGAUUACAAAGGAGGAAGAAGGGGAACGUCUCAGAGAAAAGGUUUAUAUAGAAAUAGCUGGCCAACAUCAGAUCUGGGAACACAAUCUAUCAGACGAAACCAACAUAGCUUUUAGUGGUGAUGGUUAUGAAAGAAACUUGAAUGGUUCAAGCCUGAUGACCACAUUAUUUGCACAGUCAUGUCAAACCGGCCUUUGGGUUAGGAAGGGGAGAGGGGAUCAUCUUAUAAAUGGUUGAAGUACACUAAUGGUAAAGGACUGUUGUCAGGCUACUUGGAAAAAGACCUGGCUGUCAAUAGGUUUUCAAAAUUCCAAGGGAGGGGCCCUUUACCAAAAAGGAGUUGGAUGAAGUUCGAGACAAGUGGGUUACUUAAUUACUUCAACGAUUGUGAACUACCCUCAGUGUAAUAAAUAGAGAAGGCUUGUAGUUAUUCGUGACUCUUACAUUAUUUUGUUAUUUAUCGAUUUAAUUAAUUACAUUUGAAUAAAUUCGGUAAUAUUAUUGGAAAUUUGAAAUUUAUAUCAUUUUUGAGAAUGUCAA